rnacentral:sRNA from 1 species
GCCUGGCAUGGUGGCGCACGCCUGUAAUCCCAGUGGCUUAGGAGGCUGAGACAGGAGGAUUAUGGGUUCAAAGCCAGUCUCAGCAACGGCAAGGUGCUGAGCAACUCAAUGAGACUCUGUUUCUA